rnacentral:rRNA from 1 species
GACGAACGCUGGCGGCGUGCUUAACACAUGCAAGUCGAACGGAAAGGCCCUUCGGGGUGCUCGAGUGGCGAACGGGUGAGUAACACGUGGGUGAUCUGCCCUGCACUUUGGGAUAAGCCUGGGAAACUGGGUCUAAUACCGGAUAUACCUUGCCUGCUGCAUGGUGGGUGGGGGAAAGCUUUUGCGGUGUGGGAUGAGCCUGCGGCCUAUCAGCUUGUUGGUGGGGUGAUGGCCUACCAAGGCUUCGACGGGUAGCCGGCCUGAGAGGGUGUCCGGCCACACUGGGACUGAGAUACGGCCCAGACUCCUACGGGAGGCAGCAGUGGGGAAUAUUGCACAAUGGGCGCAAGCCUGAUGCAGCGACGCCGCGUGGGGGAUGACGGCCUUCGGGUUGUAAACCUCUUUCAGUACCGACGAAGCGUAAGUGACGGUAGGUACAGAAGAAGCACCGGCCAACUACGUGCCAGCAGC